rnacentral:rRNA from 1 species
GAGGAAUGUAUAGCCAUAGCUACUUGCAUCAUUGUAAAAAUGAUGCAGGAUCGACUAUGUCGAAUAAAAUUCUAGGUAGAAUUUUGAUAAUGACAUUGUCUGCCUAUGUGUCUUGACCAAAUUACGUGCCAGCAGUCGCGGUAAUACGUAGAAGACUAGUGUUAUUCAUGUUUAAUCGGUUUAAAGGGUACCUAGACGGUAAAUCAAGCCUAAAAUUAAAUGAAGGGACUAAUUUACUAGAGUUACUUAUGAGGGGGUAUUAAAGUACUGCUGGUGUAGAGAUGAAAUUCUGUCAUACCUCUUUUCAAUAGAAAAAUAAUGGCACAGGUAUAGGCGAAAGCAUCCCCUUAUGUGAUAACUGACGUUGAGGGACGAAGGCUUUGUGUAGCGAACAGGAUUAGAUACCCCCGUAGUCAAAGCAGAAAAUGAUGAAUGUCAUAGAUUAGAUAAAUAAGUUUAUUCUAUAAAUGAAAGUGUAAGCAUUCCACCUCAAGAGUAAUUUGGCAACAUUGGAACUGAAAUCAUUAGACCGUUUCUGAAACCAGUAGUGAAGUAUGUUGUUUAAUUUGAUGAUCCGCAAAAAACCUUACCACAAUUUGAAUAUUUAUAUCUUUUAUUGUUUUUUUUUAUUUUCUUCUGAUUUGAUUUUUCUAAAGAAAAAAAGAAAAAGAGGCGAUAUGAUAUAUUUACAACGCGUUGCACGGCUGUCUUCAGUUAAUGUCGCGAGACUUUGGUUAGUUCCAUUAAAUUAACGUAAACCCUUACUUUAUUUUUAUAUAGAGUAGUUCCCCGCCUAUAUUGGAUAUGA